AAUCAACGCUGGCGGCGUGCCUAACACAUGCAAGUCGAACGCGGUUACCCCGCAAGGGGUGACCGAGUGGCGAACGGGUGAGUAACACGUGGGUGAUCUACCUUCGAGUGGGGGAUAACGUUCCGAAAGGAACGCUAAUACCGCAUGACGUUCCGGGUUUGAAGACCUGAAAACCAAAGCUGGGGACCGCAAGGCCUGGCGCUUGGAGAGGA
rnacentral:rRNA from 1 species